CAUGGCUCAGUCGGUAGAGUGUCGGCUUAAUAAGCCAAAGGUUGUCGGUUCGAGUCUUCCCA
rnacentral:tRNA from 12 species